CCUACGGGAGGCAGCAGUGAGGAAUAUUGGUCAAUGGGCGGAAGCCUGAACCAGCCAAGUCGCGUGAGGGAAUAAGGCCCUACGGGUCGUAAACCUCUUUUGCCGGGGAGCAAGGGCGGGGACGUGUCCCGUCCCGGAGAGUACCCGGAGAAAAAGCAUCGGCUAACUCCGUGCCAGCAGCCGCGGUAAUACGGAGGAUGCGAGCGUUCUCCGGAUUUAUUGGGUUUAAAGGGUGCGUAGGCGGGCUUUUAAGUCAGCGGUAAAAAUUCGGGGCUCAACCCCGUCCGGCCGUUGAAACUGGGGGCCUUGAGUGGGCGAGAAGAAGGCGGAAUGCGUGGUGUAGCGGUGAAAUGCAUAGAUAUCACGCAGAACCCCGAUUGCGAAGGCAGCCUUCCGGCGCCCUACUGACGCUGAGGCACGAAAGUGCGGGGAUCGAACAGGAUUAGAUACCCCUGUAGUC
rnacentral:rRNA from 1 species